UUUUGUAAAAGCCCCCGGCCCUGUGGGAAGGGCACCCCCCCCCAGGGGCCAGGGGAUUUUUUUUUUUUAAUUUUUUAAAGGGAGGCCCCCCCUCUCCCCCCCACUUUCCCAACCUUGGGGCCAAAAAUUUUUUUUUCCCCCGUGGAUGAGCCCGCGGCCUAUCAGCUUGUUGGUGGGGUAAUGGCCCACCAAGGCGACGACGGGUAGCCGGCCUGAGAGGGUGGCCGGCCACAUUGGGACUGAGACACGGCCCAGACUCCUACGGGAGGCAGCAGUGGGGAAUAUUGCACAAUGGGCGCAAGCCUGAUGCAGCGACGCCGCGUGAGGGAUGACGGCCUUCGAGUUUAAACCUUAUGGACAGGCGAAGCGUUAGAACGGUAAGUCCUGUAAAGCACCGGCCUAAAAACGA
rnacentral:rRNA from 1 species